rnacentral:rRNA from 1 species
UAUNGGACAAUGGGGGGAACCCUGAUCCAGCNACACCGCGUGAGUGAAGAAGUAUCUCGGUAUGUAAAGCUCUAUCAGCAGGGAAGAAGAAAUGACGGUACCUGAGUAAGAAGCCCCGGCUAACUACGUUCCAGCAGCCGCGGUAAUACGUAGGGGGCAAGCGUUAUCCGGAAUUACUGGGGGUAAAGGGAGCGUAGACGGUGAUGUAAGUCUGGAGUGGAAAGCGGGGGCCCAACCCCCGGACUGCUCUGGAAACUAUGUGACUGGAGUGCAGGAGAGGUGAGCGGAAUUCCUAGUGUAGCGGUGAAAUGCGUAGAUAUUAGGAGGAACACCAGCGGCGAAGGCGGCUCACUGGACUGUAACUGACGUUGAGGCUCGGAAGCGUGGGGAGCAAACAGG